CAAGAGGGGGAUAACAUUCUGAAAAGAAUGCUAAUACCGCAUGAUAUAUUGGAACCACAUGGUUCUGAUAUCAAAGAUUUUAUCGCUUGAAGAUGGACUCGCGUCCGAUUAGUUAGUUGGUGAGGUAACGGCUCACCAAGACCGCGAUCGGUAGCCGGACUGAGAGGUUGAACGGCCACAUUGGGACUGAGACACGGCCCAGACUCCUACGGGAGGCAGCAGUGGGGGAUAUUGCGCAAUGGGGGCAACCCUGACGCAGCAACGCCGCGUGAAGGAUGAAGGUUUUCGGAUUGUAAACUUCUUUUAUUAAGGACGAAAAAUGACGGUACUUAAUGAAUAAGCUCCGGCUAACUACGUGCCAGCAGCCGCGGUAAUACGUAGGGAGCAAGCGUUGUCCGGAUUUACUGGGUGUAAAGGGUGCGUAGGCGGCUUUGCAAGUCAGAUGUGAAAUCUAUGGGCUCAACCCAUAAACUGCAUUUGAAACUGUAGAGCUUGAGUGAAGUAGAGGCA
rnacentral:rRNA from 1 species